ACUGCCCCCUCCGCUGCUGCCA
rnacentral:miRNA from 1 species